GGACGGAUAGCUCAGUUGGUUAGAGCACUGCGUUGACAUCGCAGAGGUCGUAGGUUCGAGCCCUAUUCCGUCCA
rnacentral:tRNA from 1 species